rnacentral:rRNA from 1 species
AAGAACCCCGGCGAGGGGAGUGAAAAAGAACCUGAAACCGUGUACGUACAAGCAGUGGGAGCACGCUUAGGCGUGUGACUGCGUACCUUUUGUAUAAUGGGUCAGCGACUUAUAUUCUGUAGCAAGGUUAACCGAAUAGGGGAGCCGAAGGGAAACCGAGUCUUAACUGGGCGUUAAGUUGCAGGGUAUAGACCCGAAACCCGGUGAUCUAGCCAUGGGCAGGUUGAAGGUUGGGUAACACUAACUGGAGGACCGAACCGACUAAUGUUGAAAAAUUAGCGGAUGACUUGUGGCUGGGGGUGAAAGGCCAAUCAAACCGGGAGAUAGCUGGUUCUCCCCGAAAGCUAUUUAGGUAGCGCCUCGUGAAUUCAUCUCCGGGGGUAGAGCACUGUUUCGGCAAGGGGGUCAUCCCGACUUACCAACCCGAUGCAAACUGCGAAUACCGGAGAAUGUUAUCACGGGAGACACACGGCGGGUGCUAACGUCCGUCGUGAAGAGGGAAACAACCCAGACCGCCAGCUAAGGUCCCAAAGUCAUGGUUAAGUGGGAAACGAUGUGGGAAGGCCCAGACAGCCAGGAUGUUGGCUUAGAAGCAGCCAUCAUUUAAAGAAAGCGUAAUAGCUCACUGGUCGAGUCGGCCUGCGCGGAAGAUGUAACGGGGCUAAACCAUGCACCGAAGCUGCGGCAGCGACGCUUAUGCGUUGUUGGGUAGGGGAGCGUUCUGUAAGCCUGUGAAGGUGUGCUGUGAGGCAUGCUGGAGGUAUCAGAAGUGCGAAUGCUGACAUAAGUAACGAUAAAGCGGGUGAAAAGCCCGCUCGCCGGAAGACCAAGGGUUCCUGUCCAACGUUAAUCGGGGCAGGGUGAGUCGACCCCUAAGGCGAGGCCGAAAGGCGUAGUCGAUGGGAAACAGGUUAAUAUUCCUGUACUUGGUGUUACUGCGAAGGGGGGACGGAGAAGGCUAUGUUGGCCGGGCGACGGUUGUCCCGGUUUAAGCGUGUAGGCUGGUUUUCCAGGCAAAUCCGGAAAAUCAAGGCUGAGGCGUGAUGACGAGGCACUACGGUGCUGAAGCAACAAAUGCCCUGCUUCCAGGAAAAGCCUCUAAGCAUCAGGUAACAUCAAAUCGUACCCCAAACCGACACAGGUGGUCAGGUAGAGAAUACCAAGGCGCUUGAGAGAACUCGGGUGAAGGAACUAGGCAAAAUGGUGCCGUAACUUCGGGAGAAGGCACGCUGAUAUGUAGGUGAAGUCCCUCGCGGAUGGAGCUGAAAUCAGUCGAAGAUACCAGCUGGCUGCAACUGUUUAUUAAAAACACAGCACUGUGCAAACACGAAAGUGGACGUAUACGGUGUGACGCCUGCCCGGUGCCGGAAGGUUAAUUGAUGGGGUCAGCGCAAGCGAAGCUCUUGAUCGAAGCCCCGGUAAACGGCGGCCGUAACUAUAACGGUCCUAAGGUAGCGAAAUUCCUUGUCGGGUAAGUUCCGACCUGCACGAAUGGCGUAAUGAUGGCCAGGCUGUCUCCACCCGAGACUCAGUGAAAUUGAACUCGCUGUGAAGAUGCAGUGUACCCGCGGCAAGACGGAAAGACCCCGUGAACCUUUACUAUAGCUUGACACUGAACAUUGAGCCUUGAUGUGUAGGAUAGGUGGGAGGCUUUGAAGUGUGGACGCCAGUCUGCAUGGAGCCGACCUUGAAAUACCACCCUUUAAUGUUUGAUGUUCUAACGUUGACCCGU